rnacentral:rRNA from 1 species
UGAGGAAUACAUCGGAAUCUACUCUGCCGUGGGGGAGUAACGUAGGGAAACUUACGCUAAUACCGCAUACGACCUACGGUGAAAGCAGGGACCUUCGGGCCUUGCGCGAUUGAAUGAGCCGAUGUCGGAUUAGCUAGUUGGCGGGGUAAAGGCCCACCAAGGCGACGAUCCGUAGCUGGUCUGAGAGGAUGAUCAGCCACACUGGAACUGAGACACGGUCCAGACUCCUACGGGAGGCAGCAGAC